rnacentral:rRNA from 1 species
GACGAACGCUGGCGGCGUGCCUAAUACAUGCAAGUCGAACGAGAGCGACCGGUGCUUGCACUGGUCAAUCUAGUGGCGAACGGGUGAGUAACACGUGGGUAACCUGCUCAUCAGAGGGGGAUAACAUCCGGAAACGGAUGCUAAAACCGCAUAGGUCUUCGAGCCGCAUGGCUUGAAGAGGAAAAGAGGCGCAAGCUUCUGCUGAUGGAUGGACCCGCGGUGCAUUGGCUAGUUGGUGAGGUAACGGCUCACCAAGGCCGUGAUGCAUAGCCGACCUGAGAGGGUGAUCGGCCACAUUGGGACUGAGACACGGCCCAAACUCCUACGGGAGGCAGCAGUAGGGAAUCUUCCGCAAUGGACGCAAGUCUGACGGAGCAACGCCGCGUGAGUGAAGAAGGUUUUCGGAUCGUAAAACUCUGUUGUUAGAGAAGAACAAGUGCUAGAGUAACUGUUAGCGCCUUGACGGUAUCUAACCAGAAAGCCACGGCUAACUACGUG